rnacentral:lncRNA from 1 species
UAGCAAGACAACAACGAGCCUUUGACAGAAGAGACACACGAGUCACAUCAUACAAGUCUUGACACUUAGAGAAAGGACCAGGAACCGCUGCGAAUUCAAACCCUGAAGAAGAGACCAGAGGAGCUGACAAGGUGUUACAAAGAAAAAGGGAUUCUGACAUGCACUGGCAGAAAUCACCGAAGGAGAAGCCGUGUUACACUCUUCCCACAGUGAAGAAACUCCUGGAGCAGAAGAGGAAGAGGGAGACCUCCUCGACGGCAACAAGCAGUACCGGUGUCUCCACUGCCACUGUCCUCUCCCAACAGGUGUCAACACCAGAGAAGUCUACCUCAACAGGUGUAGCCAGCAGCUACUCAGACAUGGCAGUGGGGUAUGAGAGAUGGGGUCCUAUGGAUGAGCACCAAGCCCUCUCGGCCAUACAUGAAGGUCCAUUCUCCCCUAUGGGGAACAAUUACUUCUCCAGCCCAUCCUCCUCAAUGGACUACAGCCAAACUCCGGCCUACAGCACUCAGAUGGCCUCCAGCUACAGCACACAGCAGAUUCAGGACUACCCAGACACCAGGAUGCCCCAGUGUUAUACGGAGUGUCCAGUGACCGAGGCUGUGUCUAGUUUGGUUCCUUCAGGGCCCCUGCAGUCUGCUGUCUUCUCCUGGUCAUCGGGGGCCCUGGGCCCCACAGAGCUUGUCCAGCAGGUGUUUAGUGGCCAGAUGGAUGUCAUUAAGCUGGAGGAAGCCAGGAUGUUCCUCAGAGGGAUGGACUACAGCAGAACCACCUGGCAGGAUGACGACGGAGACACGAUUCUGCACAUCUAUACAGCCAAGGGCCUGAGGGAGUAUGCAUUCGCUGCAGCAGAGAGGCUUGCUGAGCUGGGCAAGCUAGACUCCAAGGAACACAAGGGGAAGGUAUGCACCAAGGAGACACUUCUUCUUUAGAGAACACAGGAUUGAGUUCAACA